rnacentral:rRNA from 1 species
CACGUAGGGGACGAGCGUUGUCCGGAUUUAUUGGGCGUAAAGAGCUCGUAGGCGGCUUGUCGCGUCGGCUGUGAAAACCCGCGGCUCAACUGUGGGCGGGCAGCUGAUACGGGCAGGCUGGAGUUCGGUAGGGGAGACUGGAAUUCCUGGUGUAGCGGUGAAAUGCGCAGAUAUCAGGAAGAACACCAACGGCGAAAGCACUCUGCUGGGCCGACACUGACACUGAGAGACGAAAGCUAGGGGAGCAAAUGGG